rnacentral:rRNA from 1 species
AAACUUUCAACAACGGAUCUCUUGGCUCUGGCAUCGAUGAAGAACGCAGCGAAAUGCGAUAAGUAAUGUGAAUUGCAGAAUUCAGUGAAUCAUCGAAUCUUUGUACGUACAUUGCGCCCGCCAGUAUUCUGGCGGGCAUGCCUGUUCGAGCGUCAUUAC